ensembl:lncRNA
CGUCUGUCUGCGGACUGGCCGAAAGUUGGUGACCGCGGAGAGGAGUUGAAGGCGCUACGAACCGGAGCAAGGACUAAUCUCGCCUCAUAAUGAGACGGUGACCUCGUAUUUGCUCCGGGAAAAGUCCAGAUUUAGACGACGUCAUUGUGUCCGCCUGUGAGACGUAUUGUGAGACGGGACGCAGGAGCUUCAGGUUCAGCCGGAACACUCAUUGUGAGCGGAAGCUGCGAAGGAUUCAGCGCGGAGUCGAGCGAGAAGAAAGAGGGUCAGAGUUUAUUUGCUGACUUGUUUCAGGUGCAUUGAUCGAUGUGUUGUGUCCGUACGCAUCGCACAGUACUGAUUCAUUGUUGUUUUUACAGCUGCUGGAAUCGAGACAAAGUGUGCUGGCUGAUGACGAGGUGGAACGCUGGAAAUCCGCCACCGUGGAGCUCACGUCGGACGGAGGGGACGGCGUUGUUGGCGGGGUCUCGGGGUGGAUUGUACGGUCGCCACACGCACACGAGCCGCCUGCACAACAGACCUGCCUCGGAAAACACGGCGCCAGUGACGGUCAACAACCCCGAGGAGGCAAACGGACAGUUUACUGAGCUGUAGUUUUUAAACCGCCGUUACCCAAGUGUGGGCAGAUCCUCACUUUGUAUGUAGUUGUUGUUUGUGUGUUGUUAAUAAAGCU